CGGACGGGGUGAGUAAUGUCUGGGAAACUGCCCGAUGGAGGGGGAUAACUACUGGAAACGGUAGCUAAUACCGCAUAACGUCGCAAGACCAAAGAGGGGGACCUUCGGGCCUCUCGCCAUCGGAUGUGCCCAGAUGGGAUUAGCUAGUAGGUGGGGUAAUGGCUUACCUAGGCGACGAUCCCUAGCUGGUCUGAGAGGAUGAUCAGCCACACUGGGACUGAGACACGGCCCAG
rnacentral:rRNA from 1 species